rnacentral:rRNA from 1 species
GUGAGGAAUAUUGCGCAAUGGAGGCAACUCUGACGCAGCCAUGCCGCGUGCAGGAAGAAGGCGCUACGCGUUGUAAACUGCUUUUAACCGGGAAGAAACCCCAGGACGUGUCCUGGGUUGACGGUACCGGAGGAAUAAGCACCGGCUAACUUCGUGCCAGCAGCCGCGGUAAUACGAAGGGUGCAAGCGUUAUCCGGAUGAAUUGGGUUUAAAGGGUGCGUAGGCGGAGCGUUAAGUCAGUGGUGAAAUCCUGCAGCUUAACUGUAAACGUGCCAUUGAUACUGGCGCUCUUGAGUGCGCUUGAAGUGGGCGGAAUGUGCCGUGUAGCCGUGAAAUGCUUAGAUAUGGCACAGAACACCAAUUGCGAAGGCAGCUCACUAAGGCUAUACCGACUCUUGCGCACGAAAGCGUGGGGAUCGAACAAGAUUAGAAACCCUUGUAGUCC